UCACUUUCUCAGGGCCCUGGAUUAGAUGAAACUUACAUGGUCACCCUAUGAUAACAGGCAGCCAGAGCAGCAGAGGAAAACCAGGAGGAGCCAAUAUCAUGACGGACAUUGGAUUUCAUGACAUGAGGUCCCUGGAGACUUCAGCAGCAGAUGUUUGAGUUGUGAGCAUGCAACCCGGGUUUCAGAGGGUGAGAGAGGCGCCGGAAUCAUCCAGCCGUCCUCCUCGUCAAAGUUAUGGGCAAUUUGACCUGCCAUUUAGCUGUUUCCUGGAGCCGGUUGAAUGGUUCUUAGGGCCGUUUCUACCUUGAAGACAACACAGGGCUCCAGGAUAAGAAACAUCAGAAGCCUCAACAGGAGACUGCAAAUUCUUGGCUAUUUAAUUGGAGCCUUUUGCUGCUCUUGAAACCAGCUGGAGAGAAGGAGCAAGCGAAGAGCUUGAAGAGCUGGUCUUUGAGUCAGAGCUAAGUAUAGCAUAGCCAAGUGCUUCAUCUCCCCACUCACCAUAUCGCUGUGGAUUUUGAAGGAGGUUGGCUCCAGGGAGAAAAUAUUUAAGGCUGGAGAAAUAGUUUUCUUCAGUUUGUCUUCUGUGGAUGCAAAGCACAAAUGUUACGCUGGUUCUUACUGAUUAACGUGCUAACAAGUUAAACAGUUUUUCAGUGUCCAGCCUCGCCUCUUCUCAUGGCCGCUGUGCACACGCUGGGGGGCCACUGUGGGGAGGCCAUGCCCGAGGCAACCAAGCUCCCAUCCUGGCCCCUGGUUCCCAGGAUGCACUUCUUUCUCUGGGUAUCAUUGGUAUCUUCUUCAGGCUGUCUCUGUAUCCUGUCUUUCCUCAUCCACGUCUGUCUUUCUUUGAACUCACCAUGGGUCGUUCCCUCUUGGUGUGUUUUCACUUGAGAUCCCACACUGAACACCUAGACCCAGAGCUCAAGGAGUUUGUAAUCUGGACUUUCCAGAUUGUUCAGUGUCUGCCAGUGGCUGGUGAAGCUUGUGGCUGUCAGAUCUGCAUUGGUUGCUGUCACCCCGAGGAUUUGAGAAGGAAAGGGAAGCAGUGCUUUUGGUGACCUAUGUUCUCAAGAACAUAAAACCUUGGUAACUGCUUCAUGCUAGGCCGGGCGUCUCAACCCAAGGUCUGUAUGAUCUCAAGGGAGAUGAAUAGAGAGCAACUUUCUAAAUAUGUGUGUCUAUGUGCAUUUAGGGGGAAGUUUCAUAGUGUUCACUGAGUUGUCAAGGUUGGCCAGGAGCCAAAUCAUGUAUGAACAACCAUCCUGUAAGUGCGGCCAGUAGGGAGGCUCAGUCACUAAAGGGUGAGUCAGAAUUCAGCUCAGAACUUGGACUCUAAGAGGUUCUCCUACUCCAUCAGAUGCUUUAUUUACCUUUGAAGAGCAGCAGUGAAGAAAGAAACCAAUAGUUACAUUUGACCCUUCAAAUCUAUCUUUAAUAAAAGAUCAUUUCCUUUGUACUUGGUCUUGUUUAGGGGUUGAUUUGCAAUUAUUAGACUUUAUUAUGUACUUGAAGGAGCAGACAGAGGAAGAAUGAGGUUGUUAUUGCUUUAUCCUUUGAUAUAUCCUAAAACCGUAGAGUUGGAAGGGAGUAAAAAGUUCAUGUCGUCCACCUGAAAGCCCCAACCCUGUUGCCUUGUCCAGAAUCUUCUCUAUGCCACUCCCAUCCACUAGCCUCUUGCAGGGAGAGAGAAUGCUCUGUUCACUUUCCAUUCAUCCACUCAACUGCACAUUCUCAUAUGCCAUGUACUCUGCUAGGUUCUGGGAAGAUGACAAAUAACAGCCUUGGUGGCCCUUAAGGAGCUUACAGUCCAGCAAUAUGGAGAGGCAGACACUGAAUAGUGAUGAAGAAUGUUAGAGCAGGGACAACUCUGAGGCUAAUGGGGAGCACUCUGCUCUGUGGGUGGUGGUGCUUACAGAAGGCAUUUCCAAAGAAACUAGUAUCCAAGCUGAGCUGAGAGGGAAGGGGGAGCUAGGAAGAUGAAGGAAGAUUGGGUUGAAGGAGUGCUGUAGGCAAAAGGAGUGGCACAGUCAAGGUUCUAAGAAUGAAAGAGAAGGAGCGAGGCUUAGUGGAGAAAGUGAGAGGCCAUGAUUGGAACAGAUAAAAGAGAAUAAAUAGAAUAAAUAAAUAGAGUGGUUUCCAUGGCAACCUGCUUUUUUUUUAGACAAGUCUGAGUGAGAAAGUUUUCCCUGAACUUUCUACUUAUGGUCUUCUGAUGCUCCUAGGCAGAGAAACAUCUCUAUGGGAUUUUUGAAGACAAACAGACAUGUGAGCCAUGAAUUUUCUCCUCCACUUCCUUAUACUGGACAUAACUUUAAACCAAGAAACAAGUUUUGGUUCUGCUGUACCCUUGCUAUGACCACCACCUGGAAUAUUGGUUUGGACCCAUCCACUCAGCCCAAAGGGAAAACCAAUUGCCAUGUUGUGAGCUGCCCUAUGGAAAGGCCCAUAUGGCAGAGAACUGAGGGAAGCUCCAAACUGACAGCAAGCAAAGAACUGAGGUCUUCAGUGUCAAAAUCCGUGAGGACUUGCAUGCUGCUAGCAGGAUGUGCAAAAGCCUGGAAGUGGAUUCUCUGCUCAGCUGGCUCCUUGCCGGCAGCCUUGAGGGAGACCCUGAGGUACAGGCACCCAGCCAAGCUGUGUCUGGAUUUUAGACCCAUAGGAAUGAUAAGAUAAUAAAUGCUUUAAGCUGCUAAGUUUGGGAUACUUUGUUAUACAGCAAUAGCUAUCUAAUAGAGGUUUUGGUCCCACCUGAGAGCUGAUGCUGUAACAAAUACCUAAAAAUAUGGAGUAGAUUUCUAAUUGGCCAGUGGAUGAGGCCUGGGAAGAUUUUCUGAUGUGUAUAUCUGUGAAAACCUAAGUUAAGUUGAACAGAUGUAGAAAUCUGAACUUUGAUGAUGCUGCCAGUGAGGUCUCAAAGGGAAAUAAGAAACAUUUUAUGGAAGUUUGGGGAAGGGAGGUCUGUGAGAUGUCGUGGCAGACACUUGAUAUUAUUGCCUACAGCGAUGUGGAAAGUAAAAAGUAAAAAAUGUGCCCAGUGAACUGAGUCAUCUAGGUAAGGAGAUUUCAAAGUACGGGGCUGAAGGUGCUGCCUGCUGCUUCCUUGUUGCUUAUAGUGAAAUGCAAGAGGACAGAGAUAUAUUGAGGGAAAUACUGAUAAACAAAACAGAGCCAGGCAUUGGUGAAUUUCUCAGCCUCUCCAGAUGGCAAACAGUGCUAAAAUUAAGAAAUACCUUCAAGUGAAGAUAAAAUCCAGGGCACUGCCAGGAUCUUCCCCUAAUUGAAACUUCAGAUAGGACUGGCAUCAGCUGACUUCUUGUUAGAACCUCGUGAGAGAUCUGAGGGUGGAGGCAUGUGUCUUGACUCACAGAAGCUCGGAGAUAAUGCUUGUUGUUUUAAGUUGCUAAUUUUGGGGGUAAGUUGUUAUGCAGCAAUAGAUAACUAGUACUAUCAUUAUCAUCGCCAUUACUAUAUUACCUGUGCAACCAGAAGGAUGUCCAUCUUCAUUGUAUGUAAGGUAAAACAGGGAGUCUCUGUACCAAGGACCGAGGGCAGUUAAAGUUGAGAUUACUGUACUGAAAUAGGGGAUUUGGUAAAAGUUAAUAUAAUUGAAUGGUCCUAAGAUUUUUCUGGGAAAUCUGACCAGUCCAAAAGGAAAGACCUACAGGAAUUAAUUUCAGAGUUUCUGCAAGAAUAGUAGAGCCAGAUCUACAAUGUCAGUGGGCCCAAGCCAUACACAAAGAGCUUCCAAUUAGUUUUAGCAGGCUGUCUUUUUUUUUAAUUGACGUAUAAUUAAGAUAUAACAUUAUAUUAGCUUCAGAUGUACAACAUAAUGAUUCAAUACUUGUAUAUAUUGCAAAAUGACCACCACAGUAAGUCUUGUUACCAUCAGUCACCAUACAUAGUUACAACUUUUUUUUCUUAUGAUGAGAACUUGGAAGAUCUACUCUCUUAGCAAGUUUCAGAUAUGCAAGACAUAUUGUUAACUUCAUUCACCAUGUAUUAACUGCAGUCACCAUGCUAUACACUACACCCCCCUGUGACUUACUUACUUUAUAGCUGAAAGUCUGUAACUUUUGAGCCUCUUCUUUUUUCCCACCGCCUACACCCCACCCAGGCUUCCCAGGGGGUUCAGGAGUAAAGAAUCUGCCUGCCAAUGCAGAAGAUGCAAAAGACUGGGUUUGAUCCCUGGGUCAGAAAGAUCCCCUGGAGAAGGAAAUGGCAAUUUUCUCUAGUCUUCUUGCCUGGGAAAUCCCAUGGACAGAGGAGCCUGGUGGCCUACAGUCCGUGGAGUCACAGAGUCGAACACAACUGAGCACAUAGCAGCAGCAGCUACACCCCACCUCCUGCCUCUGGCAACCACUGAUCUGUGUAUACAUGAGCUGAUUAUUAUUGCUUUUAAGAUUCCACAAUAAAUGAGCUUGAACAGU
ensembl:lncRNA